rnacentral:rRNA from 1 species
GGACGAACGCUGGCGGCGUGCUUAACACAUGCAAGUUGAACGGGACGGAUAUUGAAGCGACUUUUCGGAGUGGUGGAUAUAUUGUUUAGUAGCGGACGGGUGAGUAAUGCAUGAGAACCUGCCCUUCAGAGGGGGACAACAGUUGGAAACGGCUGCUAAUACCCCAUAUGCCGAGAGGUGAAAGGAGCGAUCCGCUGAAGGAGAGGCUCAUGUCCUAUCAGCUAGUUGGUGAGGUAAGUGCUCACCAAGGCGAUGACGGGUAGCCGGCCUGAGAGGGCGACCGGCCACACUGGAACUGAGAUACGGUCCAGACUCCUACGGGAGGCAGCAGUGGGGAAUAUUGGGCAAUGGGGCCGGAAGCCUGACCCAGCGACGCCGCGUGAGGGAAGAAGGCCUUUGGGUCGUAAACCUCUGUUGUAUGGGAAGAAGGAAGUGACGGUACCAUACGAGGAAGUCCCGGCUAACUACGUGCCAGCCGCGGC